UUUGUCCUUUGACUUUAUUCCGUUAAGUAUAAAAAGAUUUGAAAAGGGCCUUAAAAAAAACAAACCUUUGUGGGCUUCUCUGGUGGCGCGGUGGUUGAGAGUCCGCCUGCCGAUGCAGGGGACACGGGUUCGUACCCUGGUCCGGGAAGCUCACACAUGCCGCGGAGCGGCUGGGCCCGUGAGCCAUGGCCGGUGAGCCUGAGCGUCCGGAGCCUGUGCUCCGCAACGGGAGAGGCCACAACAGUGAGAGGCCCGCGUACCGCAAAAAAAAACAAAAACAGAUUUGAGCAGGGCCUUAUAGAGAUUGAAAAGCAAAGAAACGUUCCCCCUUUUUUUCUGCCAUUUUAUCUUAAAGGCUCACAGUUGCAUUGCCACUGCUGGUUGCUGUGUAAAAUUAGUGUUUCUCAGAAGUUUACCCACUUCCGUAUUUUUAAAAUACCUAGUAUGUACCAGACGUUGCCACAGGUCCUAAGGAAGAUGGGCCACACCUAGGUAAGAGGAAACCUAAAAGUGGUUAAAUUAUAAAGGAAAUCAGGAAGUAUCUCGCCCACAGUUCAGGCUGGUGGUACAUGUUUAACAGCUGGCAGGGGGAGGAGUGCAUAUGUAGACACAUACAUUUAUUAUGAAUUUUAACUAGUAUAAAGCAUGUGCAGUACACAGCCUACCAAAAAUGGUAAAACACAGUACUCUUUCUUGUAAGUUCCCUGGAGCCAUUUGAUCCUCAGAUGUUGCUGUUGCUUAUUUUUGCUGAACUCUUGUAUCCAUGGCCAACCUAUGGUUAAAAUUCAAUCAUAAUCUAUCAAAUUGAGUUGUCUCCCAACCCACUGUUUUUCCAAUAAAUUUAUUGUCAUUAAGUGUAAUAUGUGAUACAAACGCUGGUUGAUUUAAUAACAUCAAUGAGUGAGACAGAAAUGAACCAAAAAGAUACAGAUCUUUAUUCAUCAGUGAUGUGAGCAACUUCUUUGCUGUAUUGGAUCAUUUUUCCAGUACUGGACGAACGUUUUGUGCCAGUCAUAAUAUAAUGGCUAAAAACUGGACACAAUUUUAAGUUUAGCUGCACUGUUAAUUUUCUCCAUUAUUAGGCUAGGGGUUGGGAAAUGUUUUCUACAAAGGGCCAGAUACAUAUUUGCCGGACACCAGUGGUCUCUGGCACAUAUUCUUUGUUUCAUAUUUUACCAACCUUUAAACAUGUAAAAGCCAUUCUUCGCUUGAGCAAGGGCCUCACUUGGCCUUCAGUCUCUGAAUUGUAGCAUUUUCAGAGUUCCACAGUGUAACUAUUUCUCUAAUGGCCAACUUGGGAGUAUCUGAACCAACUUGAAAUACCUUGAAUGCAGAGUUAGGGAAAGUGUUUCCCCCAUACAGGUACAAGAGAUGUGAGUAACCUCAAAAGCACGGGUUUUAGUAAAGUAAUCAUGAAGUGGUCGCAUCGUAUGUAAAGGGAGUUGGAUGUCACGCCCAUCUCUCCCAGGACCCCAUGACAACUGGAGACAGACUCUCCCGCUGGCCUCUCAGGAGCAAACAGCCAUGUUGUGAACGGCCCCAGAGAAGGACGCUUGGCAGGGAACCAUGGAGCUUCUGGGACCUGAGGGCAACCAGCAGCCCAGAAGAAGCUGGGCCAGCACCUCAAUCGUGGCCCCGUGGGACCCUGAGCAGAAGACCAGCUGAGCAGUAUACCGGGACUGCUGCCCCACAGACACCAAGGGGCGGUGACAGAGGAUGAGCAGUGCAGAGCCUGGGACGCUGCAACCAUCAGGCUUCCGGCGUCAUCAUCAACCGAGGAAGGUGGAGCCCUGGGUCAAGCCACACCGAAAUUCCAUCUGUACCGAGAUCCCAGCAACACAGCACUGGGGCUUGGAUGAUGGACACUCAGCUCAGAUGAACUUAGACUCCAUGAGAUGCAACCAGCAAAAGUGGGAAACAGACUCUGGGAAACUUUAAUGAACAAGUGACCCCGUUUUUAAAAAUAAAUCGAAAGGGGGAAAAAAGGAGGCGGAGGGAAAACAUGGACUAAAAGAGAUUAAGAGAAUCCUCACUCGUUGUUGGGAACAUAAAAUGCUGCAGUCACUUGGGAAAACGGUCUGGUAAUUUCUUUAAAAGUUAAGUAUACAUUCGGCGUGUAACCCAGCAAUUCCACCCCUGUAAAUCUACUGGAGUGAAAUGAAAACACAUGUCAACAAGUAGUGCAUAAAAGUUUAUAGCAGAAGUUUUACUAAAACCCAAACUGGAAACAACACGUGUGUCUCUCAACUUGUGGACUGAUUUCUUUUCUUAAACGGUGGUAUAUUCAUACAGCAAAGCAUUGUCAGCAAUAACAGGGAUGAACUGCUGAUCCGUGCAACAUGGAUGAACCCCAAAACCUUGCGCUUUGCGUAAGAAACCAGACACAAAAGGCCACGUAGCGUGUGAUUCCGUGUAUGGGAAAUAGGUAGAAAAGGAAAAACCCUAGAGAAAAAAGCAUAUCUGUGUUUGCCUGACGCUGAAGGUCAGAGUGAGAAUCGACCGCAAAUGGGCGUGAGGGAACUUUUUGGGUGACAGAAAUAUUCUGAAACUGGAUUGGGGUGGUUAUUGAACAACUGUGCAAUUCUCCAAAAGUUUGUCCAACUGUACGUUACAGUGUGUGAAUUUUGUGGUAUGUAAAUUAUACCUCAAUUGAGGUAAAUUAUCCCUCAAUAAGGUUAUGAGAAGAUGAAAAUCUAAACACUGGCCAAAAAUUGUAUACUGUUAAGGCAGGAUUAGGAUUCUUUCACGGAUUAUCGUGGUGAUUUUUUUUAAAACCAACUCUUAUCUUUUAGGGAUACGCACUGAAUUAUAGGAAAUGAUAUAAUGCCUGAGAUUGGCUUCAAAAUAAUACGAGAGGAUUUGGGCGGCUUAUAGAUGAAACAAGGCUGUGUAUACGGAUCCCCGCUGGAGCUGGGUUUUGGGUACAUGGAGUCUUUGAAAUCGGUGUGUCGUGUGUUUUACACGGACAGCACAUCUCACUUUGGCUGGGUCCCACUUCCAGUGCUCAAGAGCUAUAAAUGAUAAAGCGGCUAUAAAUUAUCCCUCGGGGGUUUCUGCGUGUAUUCUGGGUCGUGAAGCCUUAGAAGGACCAUCGCUUCUGCCCAGCUGCAUCCUCAGGGUUGUAGCAAAGGCUCCCGCCGAGGGCACAACCCCAGUGGCUCAUCAGUCAGGGGCUGGUUUUGUCUGCAGUGGGGACCCUCCACUGGGAUGACACCACUGACUGGGCACUCGGAGGGCCUGACUUCAAGCCGCUGAUUUAAAAACCUGGCGGGACCUGUUCACCGGGUACAAAGGUGACUUAUGCAGCCCAUCGGAUGUCUCUCCAGAAGAGCGGGCCCCUGAGCGCUUAGAGGAUUGAGCCUGUUUGUGGUGGAAAUAACAGCACAAAAACCUCUGCGGAGAAGCAGAAACAGAGCUGCUGAAUUACUGCUUGGAAUGACCUCUGUUUCCAUUCCUGCACGCACGGAGCUUACAUUGGUCCAUAACACACCGCUCCCAGCCACGCAAGAAAAAAGCUAGACGAGCUGAAGAAUCAAAACUCGUCUUAGAUCUGCCAGAGCAGUGAGGUCACAGGGCAAACCGCCGCCCUAGGUUGUUUGGACAGACGGACGAAUGCAGAGUCACGAUGCACGAAGCCAGAGAACAGGAAACGGUGGGGGGGACCCAGGGCUGGGUGGACAGAUCACACACCCCUGGGGGCCCGUCCUGGGGGCCCUGACACUGCCAUGAGUUUUACCACUCGAAGCCCUGCCAGGUUUUCACAGUAAAGAUCAGGAAGAAACCAAAUCCCCUUGAGCUUCCUUCCAUCAGGGGAGGAAAACAGGCAUCGCGCGUUCUUUCUAUUCUCUGUGAGGCUCGCCUGGCUGAGCAGCUUCUGGGGGCUUCUGCGGAGCUGGCCCUCGGGCUAAGAGCCUUGCUUUCCUUAUUUCCAAGUCUAUUUUUACAAAACACUCUGCAUUUGUUGAGGUCACAGGAGUGACUCUCUCAGUGUCCUCCAACAGCCCUAAGCCCAUUUCACAGCAGAGGAAACUGAGGCCCAGUGGCCAAGUAACUUGUUCGAGGGCACAGAGCUGGUUAGCAGUAGGGCUGGCGCCCCUCCCCCAGCACCUUCGUUCCGCUUUGUCUUGACAUGGAGAAUCCUCCAGGCUCAGGCGAACGUCUGGAAGACGCAGCCCUGCCAGCGUCUCACGAGCGACCCCAAGCCAGGACCACCCCACUGGGUCACCCCCAAAUUCCUGACGCACGGACACUGUGAGAUGGUACACGUUGAUUGGUUUCAGCUGCUACGUUUUGGAACCGUUUGCUGUUACACAGCCACGGAUGAGUAACACACAGAACAUCUUUUUUUUUUCCUGAGCGCCAACACCCGAGUGUUCUGUCAAGAGUAGUUUUCACCCCGGCUUUGUCUGAACAAGUUUCCUGUGGUGUCGAAGUCAGACAUGUCUUUUCCUGAAUUAGCGUUUAAGAAAUAUGAUCGGUUCUAAAUGACAGGGUGGCCAGGGGAGGCUGAAAAGAAACACAAGCCCACCUGUUCCACGUGAGCUGAGGACACAGGGGCCAUGUCUCUCUCAGGUUUUGGGGGCCUCAGAUGGGUGAGGAAGUUUCUUGGAGGAUCAUUCUGUCUGUCUGUCUCUAUCUUCUGUAGUGAUACAAAAAUGCGGUCCUUCUCGGGAGUGGUCAGAGGCCCAUCACUGUGUGAUGUAAGGCCCCAGGGACUCAGUGGGCAGACAGGAAGCAGCACUGGGGAUGCAGAGAGGAUCCAGAAGGAUAUAGAAGCAGCAGGAAGUGACGUUCAGCAGACAGGAAGAGGAAGGGGACGCUGAAAGCACAGAGAACGCUCUGGGCUCAUCGCUCAUUUGCCAGAUGCACGUCGAGCUUCAGGCCCUCGAAGCUGUGAGUGUGGACCCGCCGCUUUCAGAUUCUGAGGCUUCCCAGCCCAUCUGCCCACCUUCAGGCCCAGCCAGGACCAGGUGGAGGGGUUUCCACUGGGCCCCUGUCUUGGGAUGGGGAACAGCAGGCCAAGCGAGGACCCCUUCGGCUCAGGGCAGGAGGGUGACCCCAUCGGCGCUUUUUGCGGGGGUGUCGUAUGGCUCUGCCCGGACCACGUUGGUGUGAUUCCCUGACUUUGGAGGAUGAAGGGAGGAGGGGGCAGACGCAGCCCAGCCACACCCCGCCCCCAGAGCAGCACCGUCCAGAACUUUCUGCAGUUAUGGGAACUUUCUUCAUCUGCACUGUUCAGUACAGCAGCCAUUGGCCACGUGGGUCUCCAGAUCCAGCUCUUGGAAUGUGGCUCGUGCCGCGUUUCACAAGGAAGGGUUUCAUUUUAUUUCAUUUUCGUUAGAGUAUAAGUGUAGAUAGCCAGAUGUGACUAGCGGCUUCUGAAUUGGACGAUAUGGCCCUUAAUCCUUGUUUUGGGUCUAAAAUCACAAACUCUCUAGAGAUGUAUAUAUAUACAUUUUUUUAAUUUUAUAUUAAAUGUACAUAGAGUAAAAGGUACAUGGAGUAAAAUUCACUUUUUCUGUGUACAGUUCUGCUACUUUUGACAAAUACGUGGGGUCAUACAAUCACCACCACAACCAUCACCUCCCACCCAGGAUUCCCACAUGUCAUUUUGUAGCUAGCCUCUCCCCAGACCUCCAGCCCCCGGAAUUGCUCGUCUGUUUCUGCCUCUAUAGUUUUGCUUUUUCCAGGAUGUCCUACAAAUGAAAGCAUACAAGAUGCGCUUGGGGUCCUCCGUGGUGUUCUCUGUAUGCGUCCUUUGCUCCUUUUCAGUGCUGCGUGAUGUUCCGUCGUACGGUUGUGCCUAAGUUUGUUUUCUAUUCCCCUAGUGAGGUGCGUUUGGAUUGUUGGGUUGUCGAGUUUGGGGUCUUUAGGAAAAAAGCCAUUACAGAUAAUCAUGUACAAGUUUUUGUGUCCACACAAGUUUUCAUUUCACUUGGAUAAAGAGCUAGUGAUGGGGUUGCAGGUCAUUCGGUAAGGUAGUUGAACUGUAUGAGAAACGGCCAGACUUCUCCAAAGUGGCAGUACCGUCUUGCCUUCUGCGAGCCAUGUGGGAGAACUCCAGACCUUCUCAUCAGUUUUCACAGAAAUCCCAGCGUGGUUUUAUCCUGCUUCCUAACAACGAAUGAUGUUGAGCAUCUUUUCCUGGGCUUGUUUUUCACGCCUAUACCUUUAGUGAAGGAUCUGUUCAUGUGUUUUUGUUUUGUUUUGUUUUUAAGACUUUAAUUAUCUUUUUUUUUUUUUGGCUGUGUUGGGUCUUUGUUGCUGCACACGGACUUUCUCUAGUUGCGGCCAGCAGGGUCUACUCUUCAUUGUGGUGCGCGGGCUUCUCAUUGCGGUUGCUUCUCUUGCUGCAGAGCACGGGCUCUAGGCACGCGGGCUCAAUAGUUGUGGCUCGAGGGCUCUAGAGCACAGGCUCAGUAGUUGUGGCGCACGGGCUUAGUUGCUCCGUGGCAUGUGGGAUCUUCCUGCACCAGGGCUCGAACCCUUGUCCCUUGCAUUGGCAGGCGAAUUCCUAACCACUGCGCCACCAGGGAAGUCCCACGUGUGUUUGUUUUUAAUGGAUUGUUUUUCCAGAUAUUUCAUGGCCUCUUUUUAACAUGGCCUUCAUCAUCACCCCCCAAUACGGUGUGUUUUUCUUGUAAACGGUUUAGUGUCUUGUAGUGAAUUUUGUUCCUUUUUGUUCCUGCAACCAGCUCCAGAGGCUUCCAUCAGGGUGAGAGCCUGGGUGUCGUGGGCUCCCAGCAGUUGACUGGGUUCUCCCUCGCAAACUUUUUCUUUUUCCUUUUUUGAGCGAAUGCAUCGUGAAGCAGCUUUCGCAGCCCCUCUAGACCCAAGAGAGUGUGAGAAGAAUUCACUUUCUCCGAUUCUGGUUCUAUAAUGGCUUUUUAUUGCCCCCUUUCUGGACCUCUCUGUUGAAGCUGUCAGUGUAUCGAAGGCUUGCUGUUUAAGAGGAAAGGAACUGCAAGGUUCAGUGGGUGUCUAGGAUUGCAGGGUCAUCGUGAGUCAGCCCUGGGAGCUCCUACCGUUGUCACGUACAGGUUCUUGCUGGUCGGGAAAAGAACUGUCCAGGUCUGUCAGUCUGCGCAUAAGUCUUCACAUUUCAUAUCGUCAAGCCUGAGGGCCGUGGAAGCAUAUAUAUCCCUCUUGUUCUCAAACAGACCUGUCAUUAACAAGAGAGAAGUCACCCCAGAUGAGCCAGAGGAAAGAACUUUGGAGGUUUUAUGUAAAUCUCUCUCUUUAAAGAAAAAAUUGUGGUAAAAGACACGUAACCCAAAAUUUACAAUCUUAACUAUUUUAAGUGUACAGUUCGGUAGCGUCAAGUACAUUCACAUUAUCGUGCAGCCAUCGCCAUCGUCAUCUCCAAAACUUUUUCAUCUUGCGAAACGGAAGCUCUGUCCCCAUUAAACACUCACUCCCCAUUCAUUCCCUGUCCCUCUGGGAAGUAACCACCCUUCUACUUUUUGUCUCUAUGAACUUGACUCCCCUAGGGACCCCACAUAAGCGGAAUCAUACAGGACCUCUCUUUUCGUGACCAGUUGAUUUCUCUUAGCCCCAUGUCUCCAGGAUUCAUCCACGUUGUAGCGGGUGUCAGAAUUUCCUUUGUUUUUAAGGCUGAAUAAUGUCCCAUCAGACAUGUCGGUGGACCCUUGGCUUGUUUCCAUCUUUUGGAUAUUGUGAAUAACGCUGCUAUGAACGUGAGUGUACAGAUGUCAUUUCAAGACCCUGCUUUCGGGACUUCUCUGGUGGUGCAGUGGUUAGGAAUCCGCCUGCCAGUGCGGGGGACACGGGUUCGAGCCCUGGUCUGGGAAGAUCCCACGUACCGCAGAGCAACUAAGCCCAUGCACCACAACUACUGAGCCUGCACUCUAGAGCCCGCGAGCCACAACUACUGAGCCCACGUGCUGCAACUACUGAAGCCCGCGUGCCUAGAGCCCGUGCUCCACAACAAGAGAAGCCACCUCAAUGAGAAGCCCAUGCACGGAAACGAAGAGUAGC